AGCCAUAUCCAAAUUGAGUAGAUCCAUACUCAGCUGGUCGAACCAUUGAAUAUGUCCUAACACAUCUCCAUCUUCUUCCAUUCAAAGGCUGUAGAGUUAUUUCUUCAGCGUAAGCUUGUUGCACAUGUUUCUUUCCAUGUACAGGGAGUGCAAUAUUAACCACAAGCCUUUGGGUGUCUUCUUCUAACACAUCAUAUAGCACCGAGUCCACCAAACACCACCUGAUCAAUGAAUAGACCC
rnacentral:lncRNA from 1 species